UUCUUUCUGUUCAAGUCAAUUUUCAGAUUUUGCCAACACCACAGAGAAGUCAAGUAUUACUAUGCAAAGUCCUUAACCUUUUUAUGUACCCAAUUAUAUAGUUAUUGGCCAAAUAUAUCUAUUGAUAUGUAUUAUAUCUAAAUGAUCUUAUGGUCAGAAGAGUCUUCAGAAGAAAAAUCCUCUUAAUAUUAAACUUCAUGAUAUAAUUUUGUUAAAAAUAGAAUUAAUCAAGUUGGA
rnacentral:lncRNA from 1 species